UUCCAGACUCCUACGGGAGGCAGCAGUGGGGAAUAUUGCACAAUGGGGGAAACCCUGAUGCAGCGACGCCGCGUGAGCGAUGAAGUAUUUCGGUAUGUAAAGCUCUAUCAGCAGGGAAGAAGAUGACGGUACCUGACUAAGAAGCCCCGGCUAACUACGUGCCAGCAGCCGCGGUAAUACGUAGGGGGCAAGCGUUAUCCGGAUUUACUGGGUGUAAAGGGAGCGUAGACGGCGAUGCAAGCCAGAUGUGAAAGCCCGGGGCUCAACCCCGGGACUGCAUUUGGAACUGUGUGGCUGGAGUGUCGGAGAGGCAGGCGGAAUUCCCGGUGUAGCGGUGGAAUGCGUAGAUAUCGGGAGGAACACCAGUGGCGAAGGCGGCCUGCUGGACAUUAACUGACGCUGAGGCGCGAAAGCGUGGGGAGCAAACAGGAUUAGAUACCCCCGUAC
rnacentral:rRNA from 1 species